rnacentral:tRNA from 1 species
GGGUGUUUAGCUCAGUUGGUUUAGAGCGCUACCUUGACAGGGUAGAUUUAAAUACUUAUUAACACCCA